AGGAGCAGGGGGUGGUCAAGCUGA
rnacentral:miRNA from 1 species